GGGGCUGUAACGGUUUCGACAGGCUGGUGAAAGCUGACCCGUGAUUCAGGUCGAGAGUGAGUCUUCUCUCGAAAAUACCGGACUCAAAAAAAAUGUAACUGCGAACAACAUCGUUCCUUUUGCUCGUAAAGCUGCACCUGUUGCUGCCUAAGACCUAAUUUCGGUUCGAGCGCUUAUAGUAUGAUUCCGUUAAUUAUUAUAGGCAACCCUCAACGGAUGCUCUUAGUGAAGGCUUCUAGUCUGACACUAAUCUAAGAAUAUACUAGAAAAUCCUGCUAUCAGGGAUAAGUGAUAGUUCCCGCUCUGAGGAAUAAAAGAGCUAAACCUGUGAAUGAGCGAUAGGUAAAUAACCAGUUUGGACAGCAGUUCAACUCUGCUCAGCUCCAUAU
rfam:Geminocystis sp. NIES-3708 DNA, complete genome.